rnacentral:rRNA from 1 species
GUCCUUUUGAAAUUCAUUUAAGGUUUAACCUGCCCACUGAUUUAUUGAAGGGCCGCAGUAUUUUGACUGUGCAAAGGUAGCAUAAUCAUUAGUUUUUUAAUUUAAAGCUUGUAUGAAGGGUUGGACGAGGUAAAUUCUGUCUCUAGAUAAUUAAUUUUAGAAUUUAAUUUUUGAGUUAAAAAGCUCAAAUAAAUUUAAAAGACGAGAAGACCCUAUAGAUCUUUAUAUUAUAUUUAUUAAUUAUAUGUAGGAUUUUUUAGUUAAUUAAUAGAUUUAGUAUUUUAUUGGGGUAAUAAAAAGAUUUAAUUAAUUCUUUUUUUAUUAUAACAUUAAUAAAUGAUUUUAUGAUCCAAUAUUAUUGAUUAUAAGAUUAAGUUACCUUAGGGAUAACAGCGUAAUUUUUUUAGAGAGUUCUUAUCAAUAAAAAAGCUUGCGACCUCGAUGUUGGAUUAAAAAUUAUUUUAGGUGUAGAAGCUUAAAAUUUUGGUCUGUUCGACCAUUAAAUUUUUACAUGAUCUGAGUUCAGACCGGCGUAAGCCAGGUCGGUUUCUAUCUUUAUAAAAAUUUUAGAUUUUAGUACGAAAGGACCAAAUUUAAGAUAUAUUUAUAUUUUAAGAUUUAUGAUUAUUAGUAUUAUUUUGGCAGAUUAGUGCGAUGAAUUUAGAAUUCAUAAAUGUAGAUUAUUUACAAAUAAUAUUGUAUUUUUUAGAUUUAAUAUUUUCGAUAAUUUGUUUUGUAUUUUUAGUAAUUUUUGUUUUAGUUGGUGUUGCAUUUUUAACUCUAAUAGAGCGAAAGGUUUUAGGAUAUAUUCAAAUUCGAAAGGGCCCUAAU